rnacentral:lncRNA from 1 species
GGGUUACCUUGUUGAAGUUGCCAUCCAAAGUUGGUUUUCCUUGUUUCCUCGAGUUAGCAAGGAAGGACCUGGGAGGACUAGAUGACCCAGUUUGGGGCACAGUUUGUUUGGCUUGGUGUCCUCUCGACUCAGACGGUGAAAGAGGGGGUAUGACCAACAUCUUUAGGGGGCUGAGAGGCUACUGAACUCCUCUUCCAGCUUAUUUCUGGUUAAGCUAAUACACAGGUGUGAUACGGAGUAGAUGACUUUUCCCUGCUCUGAUGUUUAGUUUUAUUUUUUUCUCUAACUUGCAUUGAUUCUGCUUCGUUUUUGCCGUUUGCCGCUUCUGUUUUGGUCUCUGUCUGUCUCUGUGUCUCUCUCUGUCUCUCUCUCUCACUCUAUCUGUGUCUUUGGAGGCUAAGCUAAGACUGCCCCAUCUAACCUCCUUCCCCCCUCUCUGUGGGGUGUCUCUCUUUCUCUUUUUUUUCCCCUUUUUCUUCUUCAUACAGAGCUCGCUGCCCAAAUCAUUCAAGAGGAAGAUCUCCGUUGUCUCUACCAAGGGGGUGCCAGCUGGAAACAGUGACACAGAGGGGGGCCAGCCUGGUCGGAAACGACGCUGGGGAGCCAGCACAGCCACCACACAGAAGAAACCUUCCAUCAGUAUCACCACUGAAUCACUAAAGAGCCUCAUCCCCGACAUCAAACCCCUGGCGGGGCAGGAGGCUGUUGUGGAUCUUCAUGCUGAUGACUCUCGCAUCUCUGAGGAUGAGACAGAGCGUAAUGGCGAUGAUGGGACCCAUGACAAGGGGCUGAAAAUAUGCCGGACAGUCACUCAGGUAGUACCUGCAGAGGGCCAGGAGAAUGGGCAGAGGGAAGAAGAGGAAGAAGAGAAGGAACCUGAAGCAGAACCUCCUGUACCUCCCCAGGUGUCAGUAGAGGUGGCCUUGCC